UACGAAGGGGGCUAGCGUUGCUCGGAAUCACUGGGCGUAAAGGGUGCGUAGGCGGGUUCUUAAGUCAGAGGUGAAAUCCUGGAGCUCAACUCCAGAACUGCCUUUGAUACUGAGAGUCUUGAGUAUGACAGAGGUGAGUGGAACUGCGAGUGUAGAGGUGAAAUUCGUAGAUAUUCGGAAGAACACCAGUGGCGAAGGCGGGUCUCUGGGCC
rnacentral:rRNA from 1 species